AUGAGAAGGCUUUUGUGUGUGGCCCUGCAUUUUGCUGUCUUCAGGUGUGGGGGCCCAGACAGGGGUGAUGCAAAGCUCAGCCCUGGGCGCUGGGUUGCUGGGAGGCACGGGCAGGGAGGGGCCCAUUGGGUGGGGAGGGGCACACUCCCAUUCCCCCGAGGCUGUGCCAUUUGCUUGGCUCCUAACCCAAGGCACUCUUCGCUAACUCCUCCAGGCUCAGCAGGGGGACUGUUCUCACAAGCUACGAACCAAACCGGAAUCUACUUCCCUUCACUGAGACAUCUGGGGAGUGUUGCUUCUGAAACUAUUUUUGGUGUGAACAUGUCGCUCAAGCUGCCGCAGCUAUGUGGGAAUUUUGAAGUGUCAAAGGCGUAUGACUGCAGCUGGGCGGAGGCGAGUGGGCAGGGUUAUUACAAAGCCCAGCCAGCUCCUUUUCAGCUCCCUGCUCACCUCGGCUCUGAACGCCUUAGAAGGGCUGCACCCAGGUUAGGAUGCAAACGGUGGCACAGGUGUGGCUGGGAGGAGCUGGUGGUCUGGCAGAGGGGGCCUUACGGGCCUGGGGACCCUUGGCAUCCUGGGAGAUCCUUGGAGGUGAUUCGUGGAGGGUUCCUUGGAGAAUGCCGGGGCUGUGUUUGCAGAUGGUUUCUCCAGGGGGCGCUCACAGCCCACGCCACGGGCUUUCUAGUUGUGCAGGAAGAACAACACUCAGACUCGGAUGCGAAUGUGAGUGGGGUCCCCAGGGCUAGGAGGGAGCCUUCUGCUUUACCACAUCUUCAUGGGAGAAGCUAA
rnacentral:lncRNA from 1 species